GUUCUGGGCCGCACGCGCGCUACACUGACGGAGCCAGCGAGUUGACCUUGGCCGAGAGGUCUGGGAAAUCUUGGGAAACUCCGUCGUGCUGGGGAUAGAGCAUUGCAAUUUUUGCUCUUGAACGAGGAAUUCCUAGUAAGCGCAAGUCAUCAGCUUGCGUUGAUUACGUCCCUGCCCUUUGUACACACCGCCCGUCGCUACUACCGAUUGAAUGGCUUAGUGAGGCCUCCGGAUUUGUCUAGCGCCGAGGGCAACCUUGGUGCGGGACGGAGAAGCUGGUCAAACUUGGUCAUUUAGAGGAAGUAAAAGUCGUAACAAGGUUUCCGUAGGUGAACCUGCGGAAGGAUCAUUAGAAAAAGAUUAUACACAUGGCUGGCCCUAUAAAAUUCAAAUAAUUUUAUUUUUCUUCGAAAACAAAAUUAAAACUUUCAACAACGGAUCUCUUGGUUCUCGCAUCGAUGAAGAACGCAGCGAAUCGCGAUACGUGGUAUGACUUGCAGACGUGAAUCAUUGAAUCUUUGAACGCACAUUGCGCCUGGAGGCAUUCCUCCAGGCAUGCCUGUUUGAGCGUCGUUUUUCCUCCACCAGCAAUGGUUGGUUAUGCGGCCCUAAAAAUCACAAUUGACGAUUUACACUCUCGACCUCAAAUCAGGUAGGACUACCCGCUGAACUUAAGCAUAUCAAUAAGCGGAGGAAAAGAAACCAACCGGGAUUGCCCCAGUAACGGCGAGUGAAGCGGCAAAAGCUCAAAUUUGGAAUCCUGCGGGAGUUGUAAUUUGAAGGCUGUAAGGGGGUGGCUCGGCCCUGUGCAAGUCCCUUGGGAACAUGGCGCCCAAGGAGGGGGGACAGCCCCGUGGCACUAGGUCAACCCCCAUAUACUUUUCCGGCCAAAGAAUCAAGUUGUUUGGGAAUGCCACCUCUUAAUGGGGGGGGAAAAUUCC
rnacentral:rRNA from 1 species